rnacentral:snoRNA from 1 species
UGAUGAUGAUGAGGAUAAUUUCUGAGCAUGUCUUUAAAUCUCUCCCAAGCUUAAUAAUGAUUUUCUUCAUCUUUUUGUAUCAAACUCAAAAUCUCACUCCUCAAUUG